rnacentral:rRNA from 1 species
UACGGAGGGUCCAAGCGUUAUCCGGAAUCAUUGGGUUUAAAGGGUCCGUAGGCGGUUUUGUAAGUCAGUGGUGAAAGCCCAUCGCUCGACGGUGGAACGGCCAUUGAUACUGCAAGACUUGAAUUAUUAGGAAGUAACUAGAAUAUGUAGUGUAGCGGUGAAAUGCUUAGAGAUUACAUGGAAUACCAAUUGCGAAGGCAGGUUACUACUAAUUGAUUGACGCUGAUGGACGAAAGCGUGGGGAGCGAACAGG